GGUGACACUACUGGGCCUCCCCAGAAAAUCCUAGAACGAUACAACGAGAAGAGCCACCCAGCCCCGACCCGUCCUUCCAGCUAGGUGCCCCGGACACAUCUCUCAUCCCCCUAGAGAAAAAGGAACUGAGGCCCAGGGGGCAGGUGGGCCCAGGGCACCCCGCUGGUUGGCGGUUGGGGCUGCUGGCCCAGGGCCCCUCCGGAUGCCGCAGUGCAGCGCUUCCAGACCCUGGCGGCCACCCAUCUCCGCAGAGCUCCCCCACCCCACCCCAGAAAUCGGCCCCAAGAGGUCAGACCUCCGCCUUCCCAGGGGCAGCCCCCUCCUCUGCACACCCGCCACAUGUUCUGCCCCAGCAACAGCUGCGGCCCUCGCCCAGCAACUGCAACUGUGUUCUGUAUCCUAGCAGCCCGUCUUGGGAACAGGGGUGGAAGGCAAAGGAAGAACGGUGAGUGACCGGCACAGCUGCCUCUGCCGCCCCUGCCACCCAGCCCCACCCAACUCCCAGAAUUCUAAAUCUUACAACAGUUGAAUCCUAGAAUACCAGCGCUGGAAGUGGUGGCCAACUCAAGCAGACUCUGCUACAGAUGGGUAGUAACUAAGGCCCAGAGAGCACAGGGGCUCGUUCAGGGACCGCCAGCACCUGGAACUAUAUAACCCAGCUUUCCACUGACCCCCCCAGGCCAGUACCCUCUGCAUGGGGCAGGCCCUGAGGGCCAGAAGGGCAGAGUCCGUGGGAGCUGAAGCCGGGCAGGUCAUUCACCCAGAAGAGGAAAGACCAAGAGGUCAGGAUAUCCCAUCUGGGUCAAUGGGGCCCAUGAUGUAAGGUGUGCUUUGGGCAGAGGAGGGGGAAGGGAGGGAAAGGGAGGACUUGGGGAAACCAAAGUCCUUUCACAAACCCGGGAGCCAAAUGUCCAAAUUUGGAAUAGUCCUGGAAGACCCACCAGUCUUUAGAGACCAGGAGGAGGCGGGAGGAGGCAAAGGCUGCCUUCAUCCUCCCAGUGGACCCCCCGCCCCUCCCCCAGUCAGGGCCUAUACAAGUCUGUGAUCAAGACUUCCUAAACCUGUAAUCAAUUAUGCCUUGCAGCUGACAAGUAAAUCAAUGUUCACAGCCACUGUUUCCUCGGAGAGGGGCUGGGUCUAUCAACUCAGGACUUGGAGAUGGAAACUGAGGCUGCUAAGGAAAGAUAGGGUUCAAGGUCACACUGCAAGUUGUUGCUGGAGCUGGGAUUCUGUUCAAGGAACUUCACCACGGUCCUAGUGUUCUAGGGGUUAUCUGAAGCCCCCAGGCUUUGGGAAGGCCUAAACUGGGCUUGGGGAGGGCAGGACGAAGGGUGGGGCCCUGCCUCCAUUUCGGAGACCAGCUGGGGGCCUCCUUUAGAGGCAGGCAGGGUCCAUGGGACCUUGAGGCGUGGGCAGCGGGUCCUCCCCGCAACGACAUACUCAAGCCACUUCGUCUGACUCUUCACAUCCCCGGUCUUUGAGCUCAGCCACACCCUUCCUACCAGUCUGAUCCUUGGAUACCCAUCCAGCUGCCCCCAGCCCCGGGCCUUCAAAGUCUCUCCAGCGCCCUCCACCCACAAAGCAGGGCCUGCAGUUGUCGCUGCCUUAGCCCGGGAGCCCUCGGCCUCUGGACCACACCCUCCGCACAGUCCCCCCGGCCCGGAGGUUCCCUAGAGCGAUCCCCUCUUCGGCCUCAACCCACUCACCACGCAGCGAAGGCUUCCUGUCGCGGAGCGGCGGACGAACAGAAGGACGCGCAGACGGACGCGCGGACACGGAGCUCCUGGGUGGAAGCCCGUUAGCGGAGCAGCAGCGGCAACCGCGGCGUAGGGCGGGUCGUGAGCCCAGCCGUCGGCUCCCGGGAUGGACACGUGGCGCGCGGGGGCCAAUCGGGUCCGCCCCACCUCCCCUCCUCCAACUCCUCCCGACUCACUUUCCUUUGCUCCGGGAAUCUUAGAAUGUCACCAGCGCGGGUCCCCUCCUUGAGACCCUGCUGAGCUCAGACCUGGGACUUCAGACCUAGAGAGGGGGGUAGGAUUUGUCCGAGAUUACGUGGCCAUUCAGGGAUAGAAGUCAGGGCUCCCGACUUCUAGUUCUGGACACUUUCCCCCAAAUUCCUGCUACUUGCCAAAGCUUUGUUGAGAAACAGAACAUGGAGGCUUGACAAAAAUGAGGCCGAUUCGCUUGGUCGGAUUCCACUCCGCCCUAGCGCAUCAGAUCUGCGGCGUUACUUAUCCACUUCCCAGGAGAAAAGAGCCCAGAGAAGGCCUGUUCUUUGGCCCUUGUCACAUAGCUAGUGAGGCUUGGAGUCGGGACUGGAAACUGAGCAAGGUGACUCCAGAGAGGUGCUUGUUCGUGCCGGCUCUGGAUAGUGCAUGGUCCCGAGGAAAGGGAGACAAAGAGACCCCCCCCCCCCCCACUGCAGAGCAAUUCCCCCAGGGCUGUGGGGAAAACAAUAGAUUUUUUUUUUGAAACAAUAAACUCUUUGAGAGUCUGGAGGAAACUGAGACUAAUUAUCCCCAGGGGAUUUGUGAAGACUUCCUGGAGUUGGGUGACAUUGCAGUGGAAGGUCAGUAGUACCUUUCAUCCUUUGCCCCCUUAGAAAUUCUGCUUCAGUGAAAAGACAGAAAGGUGGCAAUUGUGGGCUGUCACCCAGCUGCAGAGUCCCCCUGGGCAAGACAUUUAACUGCUCUGAUUAUCAAGUUCCUCAUCUGAAACAGAAAGAAAACCAAAGGUUUUGCAGGGAUUGCUCUCCAUCUGCCACUAUUUCACAGACCUCUCAGCCUCCCACAAGGAGACCUGGUUGCAAAGUCCCUUCAUCUCUUCGUUUCCCAGCAAACACGGAGCACCUGUCGCAUGCCGGACGGACGGACGCUGAGUUGGGAGACAGUAAGCAAAUGGGAAGUGGGCCCCUGCCCUGCCCUCAUGGAGCUUCCACGCUCACGGCAGACAGAAGGUUAGGGCAUCGUCACGAUGCAUUUCGGCCUGUUGUAAUCUGGAAAUGACACAGUGAGGCGCUGGCACACAGCAGGUGGCCCAGUCUCACCUGCUCGCGAAUGAGAGUGAUGCUACAUUGUCACCACAAAGAUCAGUGGAAUCUACUACGAAACUAAGAAGAAAUUAAAAUAAUCACCUGAGGCCCUGGCCAGUGUGGCUCAGUUGGGCACCGCAGUUCCUGUGAAGUGGAAAGGUUGCCUGUUUGAUCGCCAGUCAGGGUACAUGCCUGGGUUGUGGUUCGGUCCCUGGUCAGAGCAUGUAUUGAUGUUCCUUUUUCACUGAUGUUUCCCUCUCUUCCCCUCUCUCUAAAAAUAAUAAAUACAAUCUUUAAGAAGUAUAAUCACUUUAAGAUUAGGAGGGACCAGUUGCUGGGAUGAGGGUGGGGAUUUGUGGCUCUUGUGAGACUGUAACAGGGUGCAGCUAAGAGGGGGUCCCAAAUAGGGAUUUGGAAUGGGGUCCAGAACUCAGGGUGUCCAGGAAAUACUAGAAAGACAUAUAAGAUGUCCUCACCCCUUCCCCCCCUCAGGUGUGAGUUGGGGGAAGGGGCAAAUGGAGCAGGGCCAUUGAGAGCUGUUUUGUACAGCAGUGGCUUUGCAGCUAACCUCUGGCACAGUCAUUUAACAUAUCUAUAACCUUUAUCUGGUUUCAUAGGUAUGCUAAAUAGCCUUGGCCAUGCUUUGAGCCAGGGGGAUGGAAGUGACUUCCACCAAAGAUGUAACUGGAGGUCCCCCCGAGUUACAGUGCCUGAGUGAGAACUUGGAGAAGAUUGGCUCCAUGACAUGGGGCCACACCUGCCCAGACUCACUAUGGCAGCCCAGUAAAGCUGGAAGGAUACGGGAGUGCUGGCAAGUGUAGCCAAUUGUGGGAGGAGUCGGAAAUGGGGCUGCAGAGGAGGAUUGGCUCAGGGAUUUAAACCCAGACGUGGCAGCCAUUGAAGAGAGAGCCACGUGCAGCUUGGGUGGAGAGAACCACCACUCGGCUUUGGCAGAGUGAUGACCCCCCUUCCUGCAGCUUUGCUGAGAAGAACCAUGUGGUUUUGGCCAGAGUAGGGACCCCUGAAGCUUUGGUAGAAGAGAAACAUGCAACUUUGGGGGGCUCCCUUUGGCUGUGUGGCCUGGGAAGCAGGAGAGACUUUGCCUGGAAGAAGGGUGAAAGAACUCCUGCCAGUGGGCCAUGAGAAGGUGCCACAUGGCUUUGGAUUAAUUAGAGAUCCUGCCUGGAUGCGACACAGAUGAUGGUGCCAGCGGCCUGAAACACGGACGUUUGCUUCUUUUCUGGAGUUACGGUACCCUGAAUUAGGGCAGGGGGAGAAGGAAGCACUGUGGUCAUCUGUGGGUAUCCAAAAAGGACUUUGAUAUUUUAAUGAAGAUGUUAGGUCACUACUUUAAGUCUGUAUAGCUUUAAAUAAACCUUUCCUUUUCACAAA